GGAAUCUUCCGCAAUGGGCGCAAGCCUGACGGAGCAACGCCGCGUGAGUGAGGAAGUUCUUCGGAACGUAAAGCUCUGUUGUUCCUGACGAACCUCCCUUCUAUCAACAACGGAGGGGACUGACGGUAGGGAACGAGGAAGCCACGGCUAACUACGUGCCAGCAGCCGCGGUAAUACGUAGGUGGCAAGCGGUGUCCGGAUUUAUUGGGCGUAAAGCGAGCGCAGGCGGUUUGAUAAGUCUGAUGUGAAAGCCUUUGGCUUAACCAAAGAAGUGCAUCGGAAACUGUCAGACUUGAGUGCAGAAGAGGACAGUGGAACUCCAUGUGUAGCGGUGGAAUGCGUAGAUAUAUGGAAGAACACCAGUGGCGAAGGCGGCUGUCUGGUCUGCAACUGACGCUGAGGCUCGAAAGCAUGGGUAGCGAACA
rnacentral:rRNA from 1 species